GGACGAACGCUGGCGGUGCGCCUAAUGCAUGCAAGUCGUACGGUCCCGAUGGGGCAACCCAUCGGGAUAGUGGCGAACGGCUGAGUAACACGUAAGUGACCUGCCCCGAAGAGGGGGACAAGCCCGAGAAAUCGGGUUUAAUACCCCGUACGCUUCCCGCGCCACGGUGCGGGAAGGAAAAGGCCCGUAAGGGUUGCUUUGGGAGGGGCUUGCGGCCUAUCAGGUAGUUGGUGGGGUAACGGCCUACCAAGCCGAAGACGGGUAACCGGUGUGAGAGCAUGAACGGUCAGAGGGGGACUGAGACACGGCCCCCACUCCUACGGGAGGCAGCAGCAGGGAAUCUUGCGCAAUGGGCCGAAAGGCCUGACGCAGCGACACCGCGUGGGGGAAGAAGGCCUUCGGGUUGUAAACCCCUUUUCUCGGGGAAGAGAGCGGACGGUACCCGAGGAAUAAGCCUCGGCUAACUACGUGCCAGCAGCCGCGGUAAUACGUAGGAGGCGAGCGUUGUCCGGAAUUACUGGGCGUAAAGGGCGAGUAGGCGGCCCGCCAAGUCCCAUGUGAAAUCUCCCGGCUCAACUGGGAGAGGUCAUGGGAAACUGGCAGGCUUGAGGGCGGUAGAGGAAAGCGGAAUUCCCGGGAGUAGUGGUGAAAUGCGUAGAUACCGGGAGGAACACCCGUGGCGAAAGCGGCUUUCUGGGCCGAUCCUGACGCUGAGGCGCGAAAGCAUGGGGAGCAAACCGGAUUAGAUACCCGGGUAGUCCAUGCCCUAAACGAUGGAUGCUAGGUAUGGGGGGUAUCGACCCCUCCCGUGCCGCAGCUAACGCAUUAAGCAUCCCGCCUGGGGAGUACGGUCGCAAGGCUAAAACUCAAAGGAAUUGACGGGGGCCCGCACAAGCAGCGGAGCGUGUGGUUUAAUUCGAUGCUAAGCGAAGAACCUUACCAGGGCUUGACAUGUACUCGCAAGCCAGCGAAAGCUGGCCCUCCUUCGGGACGGGUGCACAGAUGUUGCAUGGCUGUCGUCAGCUCGUGCCGUGAGGUGUUGGGUUAAGUCCCGCAACGAGCGCAACCCUUGUCGCUAGUUGUCUUUUCUAGCGAGACCGCCCCUAAAAAGGGGGAGGAAGGUGGGGAUGACGUCAAGUCAGCACGGCUCUUACGUCCUGGGCUACACACACGCUACAAUGGCCGAUACAGAGGGUUGCCAAGGAGCGAUCCGGAGCUAAUCCCAAAAAGUCGGCCUCAGUUGGAAUUGCAGGCUGCAACCCGCCUGCAUGAACGCGGAGUUGCUAGUAACCGCAGGUCAGCAUACUGCGGUGAAUACGUUCCCGGGCCUUGUACACACCGC
rnacentral:rRNA from 1 species